GAACGCACCUUCGCAGCGCUUCCGAGUGCGUCACAUGUUGACCACUGAUGCUAGCUCAUGCUAACAGAAGCUUGACAACAUACAGGAACAUGCCUGAGUAGAAGUGUUGUCGACUUGGGUUUCGGUUUCUCAGGUUCAUAAGAAUAAGCUGCAUUCUUUGCUACCGAGCUCAUGUAGUUAACCUGUUUACGAGACAGGGGGUGUUGGCUUCUAGUUUGCUGACACAGUCAACAUAAGGAACCAAAAUAAAGAGAGUCCCAGAUGCGGCUUAAGGACCCUUUCUCCUUGACAGCUGCCAACAUGACUAAGCGGACUAACAAACCGCGGAAACCUCGAGAUGAAGAAUCAUCGGAUGAAGUCAGUGGUUUGACCUGCCAGCAUGUGAGUAAAGCAGUGGACCUGAGCUCAGUGAAGAAGUCCAUCUUAUCCACUGUGUGGUUGGUUUGCUCCGAGUGCAUGAAGGAAAGGACGAUGAUUGGUGGGGAACCUGCAGCCUCCAAUGACAUCAUGGUUUGUCUCAAGUGUGGUUUCCAGGGAUGUACCCGUUCAGGAAUCCAUCAUGCUGCCAAGCACCACCAAGCCUUCCAUCCAGAGUCCCACUGCAUCACCAUCAGUUUGACCACCUGGAAAGCCUGGUGUUUUGAAUGUAACGAGGAGCUCUCCACUCACUGCAACAAAAAGGCCUUGGCUCAGACCCUGGAUUUUCUACAAAAGCAUUCUGCCAAGGCAACUUCAGCAUCGCCCAAGAAUGUCAAGCUGUGGGAAGAGUCCUCUGAUUAUGCCGAACCAACGCGAAGCAAAGGUUCGGUGAGCAAUAGCACCCUGGUUCCUGUCAAAGGAAUUAAUAAUCUUGGCAACACCUGCUUCUUCAAUGCUGUAAUGCAGAACCUCUCUCAGACACACAUGCUCAUCGAUCUGAUCCAGGACGUGAAGGAGAAAGGACACAAGUUGAGGAUCUGCCCACCUGGUGACACUACUCUGAGCCCAUUGACGGUCACUCUCCCAGGUCCUGAGCCCCUCACAGCCGCCAUGUUUCUCUUCCUUCAGAGCAUGAAGGAGCCUGGGAAAGGGCCGGUUAACCCCAAAAUCCUCUUCAAUCAACUCUGCCAGAAAGCGCCACGUUUCAAAGGCUACCAACAGCAGGACAGCCAGGAGCUUCUUCACUACUUGCUGGACUCUAUUCGUGUAGAGGAAACCAAAAGAGUGAAGGCAGGCAUCCUGAAGGCUUUCAAUAAUCCCACAGAGAAGACGGCAGAUGACGAGACCAGACGUCAAGUCAAAGCCUAUGGAAAGGAAGGUGUGAAGAUGAACUUCGUUGAUCGCAUCUUUGUGGGCGAGCUGACCAACACCAUUAUGUGUGAAGAAUGUGAGCAUAUCUCGACAGUGAAGGAGGCCUUCAUUGACAUCUCCCUACCCAUAAUUGAGGAGAGGAUAUCUAAACCAUCCAAUCCUGGCCGGCAAGGGAAGGGCAGCCGAGAACAGGAAGGCCACCUGCCCCACAGUGAACAGCUUCUUUCUGCCUCCCACUCAGCCAACAGAUACAACAGGAAGCUGAGUACACAGAAACAACCAGGUAGAAGGUCAUCCAGCUCGAUGGAAGAGAAGGGGGCCAUCUGUGGAGCUGAGCGACCAGAAGAUGAAAAUGUGGCCGGAGGAUCUCGGACUUCUGUGUCCAAAAUGGCUGCUGUUGGAAGCCUGUCAGAUGGUAGUGAAAGAGACUCUGGUCCUCAGGACAGCAGCAAUGAUGCAGACAGUGAGGCCUCCGAGAGCGAGUGGACCCCACGUGCAUCUUCCAGCCUGGCCCACCAUCAAUCGUCAUCCACUCAAGUGGGCUCUCCCACAUCUACCUCCUCCUCGUCAUCCUUCUCCCGGCAAGGUGGCGCCAUGAACCAUCUAGUUUCCGCGGUGUCUAAAGUGAGCAUCGGGCUCAGUUCGGGAGACUGCUCUUCUUCGUCUCAGUGUUCUCCCGACGAUCCCAGGGACUCUCGAGAUAAUCUCCACCAUCAACACUACCAGGGGGCUUUCCAGGCACUGUCCCACAGUUACACACCCAGUUCUAAGGAGUGCUCCAUUCAGUCGUGCCUGCACCAGUUCACAUCUGUGGAGCUGCUGAUGGGCAAUAACAAGCUGCUGUGUGAGAGCUGCACCGAACGCCGCCAGAAACAGCUGCGGAAGAGCAGCUCCGCAGAUAAGAAGGGUGAAAAGAUUUACACCAGCGCCAGAAAGCAGAUGUUGAUCUCCUCACUACCACCUGUCAUCACUUUACAUUUGAAACGAUUCCACCAGGCAGGAAUGAAUCUUCGAAAGGUGAACCGCCAUGUUGACUUCCCUUUGGUGCUGGAUCUGGCGCCCUUCUGUUCAGCGUCCUGCAAGAACCUGGCUGCUGGUGAGCGUGUCCUCUAUAGUCUGUAUGGGAUUGUGGAGCACAGUGGGUCAAUGCGGGGCGGCCACUAUACUGCUUAUGUCAAAGUCCGCACACCACAGAGGAAACCGGAGCAGCAUCACAAGAAACUGUCAGGAGCCAGAGACCCCAGCAGCUCCUCGGACCAGUGGGUCUACAUCAGCGACACCACGGUCCAGACAGUUCCAGAGUCGAGGGUGCUCAACUCUCAGGCAUACCUGCUGUUCUACGAGGAAAUGCUUUAACGUCUUGGCGGUGCUAUGAUGACUUCCUUAUCAGGCUGCAGCUUUUGAGGCGUCACCAGAUGAGCUUUUUUAUAUAUAUAAAAGGAAGGCCUUUUGGUCAUUUACGUAUGAAAUGUGACAAGUCCGUAUCCAGUGUAUAAAAGAUGAACAUUAAAGAAUCAGACAUUUUCACUGCAGUGCUGACACACAGCGAGAGUUACUACAGCUGCUGUUCUAUGUUUAUCAAUCUCUGAUUCUGUCAGAGUGAAAGUGCAUGCAGUGGGAUAGCUAGGACUUAUUGCAUGUUAGCUGGUGUUCAGCACUGAGAUUCUGAUGUCAAGUGUGGGUGUGUGAAUGUAAUGCAUACAUUUGUGUGUGACCGGGGAAUGUAUUCCAUAAUGUGAGAGGACUGGCUCUUAGUCAGGGUAGAACUGAUGAUCAGCAUUACGUAUCUUCAUGAAGAAAAGGGCUCGAGAACUUCACUCUGGUUUCAUCGUUCUUUUAGGAAAGGCUUUGCAUGAGACCGUAGACUCAAGAGGAUUUAGUGGUCAGGGCAAGGAGGUUGCUGGUUUGAACCUACCCUGGUCUACAUUUGUUAUUCAGCGCCUCGUGUCAAGGCACCCAACUGUCCGCUCAUAGUCAUAAAACAUGCAUUCAGGUGACUCUAAAUUGUGUAUAACAGUCCAUGUGCGUAUGAAUGGUGGUCAGCUUCCAUGUGUCCAGGGUGUGUCCAGCUUGGACAGUAAAGCGGUCAACCAGUCUGAGUUGCCUUCUGUAAGGCAAAACGCAACUUCAGCACAAUCUGUUUUUAUAUUCUCAGCAGAGUGUAAUCAAGUAUUUUACUGUGUAUUACAUUGUUGCCAAGUAUUCUGGCAAAAAUCAUGUUUAUGUGUUCCCGUCAAGGUAUCGCUGAAUGUGCUGGAGGUUCGCUCAUCAAAUGACCUUGUUUGCCUUCGAACUCAUCAUCUGCCGUCAUCUGCAUGGGAUUAUCAGUUUUGAAUGUAUCGCCAGUUUUGGAUGAUUGUGGUAUUCGAUAGAAAACUAUUUUGGAAAAUAAUGUUUAUUGCUGAGUCGGUGCAAGCAAAAGUGUUAAAAAGACUGCUGUUUUAAAAACGGACAAAUUCAGUGCCUAUGCUUCUUGUUUUCAGAAUCAAGUGUGAAGAUGUGCAGCAGACUAGCUUGGUGUGCCGGGAGCAGAAAUAAUGAGCGCGUGCUUGACGCAUGCAGCGAGACGUUGCGGACAGACACUGCGGACUGUCGCUGCGCGUCCCGUGGCGUCGCACUCAACCUGUCUUUCAACCGUGAUGCGCCGUGACGGGUGUAAAGCAGCACUGUUCCAGAACAUGUCGCAAGCUGGUGAAGAGGAGGUGGGUGUGGAAUCAGGAAAAGGGCAACGUCCAAAACCAUCGGCUUGCGCGCCCUCUUCUUACCACAAGCUGUGACAUCCGAGUCAGAACGCCGGAACGUUAAAACCGGUUGUCAGGCCGCCACCAACACGCCAGCAAAUCUUUUCUGAAAUGUACUUCUCUAUUUUUAACGCGAGAAGCGGGGUGGCGUUUGGCUCGGGGACAUGCAGCUGUACCAUUCGACGUGAUUUAAUCUCAUUUAAUGA